UGGGGAAUAUUGCACAAUGGGCGAAAGCCUGAUGCAGCGACGCCGCGUGAGGGAUGACGGCCUUCGGGUUGUAAACCUCUUUCAGUAGGGAAGAAGCGAAAGUGACGGUACCUGCAGAAGAAGCGCCGGCUAACUACGUGCCAGCAGCCGCGGUAAUACGUAGGGCGCAAGCGUUAUCCGGAAUUAUUGGGCGUAAAGAGCUCGUAGGCGGUUUGUCGCGUCUGCCGUGAAAGUCCGGGGCUCAACUCCGGAUCUGCGGUGGGUACGGGCAGACUAGAGUGAUGUAGGGGAGACUGGAAUUCCUGGUGUAGCGGUGAAAUGCGCAGAUAUCAGGAGGAACACCGAUGGCGAAGGCAGGUCUCUGGGCAUUAACUGACGCUGAGGAGCGAAAGCAUGGGGAGCGAACAGGAUUAGAUACCCUGGUAGUCCAUGCCGUAAACGUUGGGCACUAGGUGUGGGGGACAUUCCACGUUUUCCGCGCCGUAGCUAACGCAUUAAGUGCCCCGCCUGGGGAGUACGGCCGCAAGGCUAA
rnacentral:rRNA from 1 species